rnacentral:rRNA from 1 species
GACGAACGCUGGCGGCGUGCUUAACACAUGCAAGUCGAACGGAAAGGCCCUGCUUUUGUGGGGUGCUCGAGUGGCGAACGGGUGAGUAACACGUGAGUAACCUGCCCUUGACUUUGGGAUAACUUCAGGAAACUGGGGCUAAUACCGGAUAGGAGCUCCUGCUGCAUGGUGGGGGUUGGAAAGUUUCGGCGGUUGGGGAUGGACUCGCGGCUUAUCAGCUUGUUGGUGGGGUAGUGGCUUACCAAGGCUUUGACGGGUAGCCGGCCUGAGAGGGUGACCGGCCACAUUGGGACUGAGAUACGGCCCAGACUCCUACGGGAGGCAGCAGUGGGGAAUAUUGCACAAUGGGCGGAAGCCUGAUGCAGCGACGCCGCGUGCGGGAUGACGGCCUUCGGGUUGUAAACCGCUUUCGCCUGUGACGAAGCGUGAGUGACGGUAAUGGGUAAAGAAGCACCGGCUAACUACAUG